rnacentral:misc_RNA from 1 species
GUCCUCAACCAUGAAGUAGGCUUGCCUCAAGAGUGGACAUACUGAUCCAAGAAUUAAUCCUUCUCAUGAUAUAUAGUGUUGUUUUUGUUGGACAAAAAGAAAGCAGGUAUAGAGGUAGAAGUAUCAAUUAGGGUUUUUAUGGGAUAUUUGGUUUUUACAUAGGAAAAGGAAUUGAAGAAGGGAAAUAAGAAAUUAAGACAGCUAGGGUUUUUUUUUUUUUUGAGGGAAGUUUGCAGUCAGCUUUUUAGAUGAAAAGCAGCGAAAGGAAUGAAGC